rnacentral:piRNA from 1 species
UCACAAGUGGUUUGGGAUCAG